CAGUCGCCGCGGGAAUACGGAGGAUCCAAGCGUUAUCCGGAAUCAUUGGGUUUAAAGGGUCCGUAGGCGGUCUUGUAAGUCAGUGGUGAAAGCCCAUCGCUCAACGGUGGAACGGCCAUUGAUACUGCAGGACUUGAAUUAUUGGGAAGUAACUAGAAUAUGUAGUGUAGCGGUGAAAUGCUUAGAGAUUACAUGGAAUACCAAUUGCGAAGGCAGGUUACUACCAAUUGAUUGACGCUGAUGGACGAAAGCGUGGGUAGCGAACAGGAUUAGAUACCCGGGUAGUCCCUGUCUCUUAUAC
rnacentral:rRNA from 1 species